rnacentral:lncRNA from 1 species
CACAGUUUAAAGAUCUCACCUCUUAACAUGAUUACAUUUGGGACUAAGUUUCCAAACAUGAACUUUGGGUGGGAGAACACAAAACUAGCAAUUUCCAUGGAAGGCUGUCUUUAAUGCAGUUUAAAGUAGUGGUUGCCUCUGGUUUAUGCUGAGGAUCAUGAUCCAUUUGCUAAUUUGACAUUCAGCAAAUCCCUGAGUAUGCUUUAAAUAUUAAUAGUGCAGAUGGAGGUGAUGCAGUCCUCUACACAGGAAUUGUUCAUUCCUGAUCCUGGGCAUGCUGUAACUAGAGUAUAUCUGGAAUCUGGUGGUGCUCAGAGCUGCGAGCAUCUCUCCGACUACUGCGGGGUUCAGUCUCCAGUACCACAAAAAUAAAUAAAUAAAAUAUAUGAUGGAAUAAGGUAAAAUUUCAAUCACUUUUUUCUCUUCCAGAGUAUUAUAGUGUAUUUGAAAAGUGAGCUUACUGUUGAAUAUGAAAUUGAUUUCUUCUUUAAAUUAUAUUUGCAUAUCUUAGUCUGAUUUGGGAACAAAUAACUGCAAUUAAUGCAGCAAAGACUUAAAAAACUAUCACAGACUUGAUCUUUUCCUCUUCAAUACCUGUCUGUGGAGGUUAGAAUUUUGAAUUUAGCAGGAUCCUUAGAAAUCAUCUCAUUUUUACUUUUACACUUUCAGGAGAGUUGUAGCGUAGGUUGUGAACUUGCUUGAGGAACUGAGAUUUACUCACACUGCCAUCCAUUGAUUGUGAGUAACAGCCCCAUGUCUUAGGCCGAGGGCAUUUAUUUGAAUUUGUUAGGCUAUGAAGUAAACCCAAAGAUGAAAGAAUGGUAAUCACAUACAGGUCACCAAUAUAAAAAGCAUGUGCACAGUUAAACAAGUGAUGAUU